rnacentral:pre_miRNA from 1 species
AUCACCUGGGGAUCUUGUUAAAAUGCAGAUUCUCAUUUGGUGAGUCUGGAGUGGGGCUUAAGAUUCUGUAUUUCUCAUAAGGUCCCAGAUGAUGCUGA